rnacentral:tRNA from 1 species
AUUUUUUUAGUAUAACAAGUACACCAGACUUCCAAUCUGAAAGUCUAGAAACUAGAAAAAAUA